rnacentral:lncRNA from 1 species
UUCGCACCGGUAAUAUGAGGGAAGGGGAAGGGGCUAGCAUUUGAGGAGGAGGGGAUAGGAGGUCUGCAUUCGGGGAGGAGGGGAAGGAGGCUGCAUUCGGGGAGGAGGGGAAGGAGGCUGCAUUCGGAGAGGAGGGGAAGGAGGCUGCAUUUGGGGAGGAGGGGAAGGAGCCUGAGUUUGGGGAGGGGGGGUGGAGGCUGCAUUUGAGGAGAAGACAGAUGGCUGUUUGUGGAGGAGGGAAUGGAGGGACAGCCAGGGAUGACAGUUCAGCCCAGGAGACAUGCUGGGAUCCAGCAGCCUUGUA